rnacentral:lncRNA from 1 species
GCUCCACCCUUCUUUCCAAACAUAACAGAUCUCUUUCUUUCUUAUCUUCUUAUCUCUAAUUCAGAUCGCAUUCAAAUUAGGUAGGAGAUAAAGACCAUGACUCAUCAUGCAUGCCACCCACCCUAUCUACGCCCUUUCUCCUCACACUCAAAAAUCACAUGAAAAAAUACUUUUGGCAUUAAGAAGAAAGGCAUGGGUCCAGCGUGGCCGCAACGGGGA